CUCCAGGCUUGGAUUCUUAAAUCUAAAAAGAGCCUCUCACCUGAGGCCUUCACCUGAGAGCUGGAGCCUGUGCGAUGGAUUAUCUGGACAGGGACCCCAAUGAACAGGGCUCUGCUGGAGUGAGGAAGCUGACUGAGGGAAGAACCAGAAGGCUGCCAAAAUGUCUGCUGCUGGGGAAACCAAACCACAGUAACUUCAGAAAUAUAUACUUGGAAUAUGUCAUGUAUUAAUGGGUAAAGACACCGUGGAUAUGAAGGAAAUCACCUAUGGGAGAAUAUUAAGAAGAGAAGAAGGGGCUGCUGGCUGUAGUGAAAUGUAUAAAAAGGAGAGUGUGAUCCUAGUUUCUGUCUCUAACUAUGAGUUACUUGUGAUUAACUUCAAAUAUUCUCUCCAUAAGAAGAGGCCCAGAAGAAGAAGAUGAGCUUCAGUUAUUCUAGCACAACUGCUGUGAUAUUUGUAAAUAUUCAAAACCUAUAAUAAAAUGUAUAAAAGGAAACUCCAUUUGAAAUGAUUUGAAAUCUCACAUGGAAAUCUAUUUUUUUUAAAUCAGAGCUUAGUAAGAGAAAAUAACAGAACAUUGUAAUAAUUGAAUUACAAAAACAACUGAAUUUUGGAAAAUUUAUUUUCUCUCAUGUGAUGUGUGUGUAUGUGUGUGUGUGUGUGUGUGUAUCUAUUUAGCAAUGGCGUUAUUCUAUCAAAUGGGAUUAGAUUCAUUUUUGACUCCUGCUAAGCACCCUGUCCCCCCAACCCCAAGAUUAUGAAAGCGGAAGGGAAGGGGGAGAUAGGAAAUAUGACUUAUUUAAACUGUAUAAAAAUGCUGAAAUAAAAUGAACAUUCA
rnacentral:lncRNA from 1 species